CAGAAAUUGAAGAGGAACUAAAGAGCCUAAAGGUGAAGGAGGAGAGUGCAAAAGUUGGCUUGAAACUCAACAUUAAGAAAACUAAGAUCUAGACUAAGCUACUGAAUAAAUGAAUAGAAUUUUUUUUUUAUUGGCCAAGUGUGAUUGGACACACAAGGAAUUUAUUUUGGUGCAUACGCUCUCAGUGUACAUAAAAGAAAAAGGAAAAAAACUACAUCAAAGUGAAAAGAAGGACCAGGAUGGCAUGAUAGCACUGUUCCAAUAUAUGAGGGGCUGCCAACUAAACAGGGAGAAACCUCCUGACAGUGAGAACAAUUAACCAGUGGAAUGGCUUCCCUUCAGAAUUUGUGGGUGUUCCAUGACUAGAAGCUUUUAAGAAGAUACAAGGAUUACUGGCCUUGCCUAUCCCAGUGAUUAUUCAAGAUCAUAUUGGGUGUUAGAAAGGACGAACCAGC